rnacentral:rRNA from 1 species
GAUGAACGCUAGCUACAGGCUUAACACAUGCAAGUCGAGGGGAAACGAUAUUGGAAGCUUGCUUCCGAUAGGCGUCGACCGGCGCACGGGUGAGUAACGCGUAUCCAACCUGCCCAUCACUUGGGGAUAACCUUGCGAAAGUAAGACUAAUACCCAAUGACGUCUCUAGAAGACAUCUGAAAGAGAUUAAAGAUUUAUCGGUGAUGGAUGGGGAUGCGUCUGAUUAGCUUGUUGGCGGGGUAACGGCCCACCAAGGCGACGAUCAGUAGGGGUUCUGAGAGGAAGGUCCCCCACAUUGGAACUGAGACACGGUCCAAAACUCCUACGGGGAGGCAGCAGUGAGGAAUAUUGGUCAAUGGACGAGAGUCUGAACCAGCCAAGUAGCGUGCAGGAAGACGGCCCUAUGGGUUGUAAACUGCUUUUAUAAGGGAAUAAAGUGAGUCUCGUGAGACUUUUGCAUG